GAGCCUGUUUCACUGCGUGCUCCGCUGAACCGUUGGGGAAACAGGAAGUUGGGUUGUCUUCGGGAGGAUGGACUACAUGAAUCCGGUGGCCGCUGACACCGAGAUGCAUGAGCGUCUCCACGCAGGGCUGAAUAGCUAGAGAAGGUCUCGCUCAAGCCCUGUCCAUGGUGCUGAAGCACAGCCAGCGCCACACAACUCGGAUGUUUUCAACCACAACAGGAUUUCUGCCAAAACUAUUAUCAGUAAACACACCUGUCAGUUCCACAAAGUUGUCCAUGAGCCACUGAUGGACGUGUGCGCAGUCGUGCUGGUCGUUGAGGGUGAAGAGGUUGGACGGGCCGGUCCGUGUGUGUCGGUGUCUGGGCUGAUGUGGGUUCAGACUGUUGGGUUUUUGGGUUAUGGCAUCAGUACUGCUCCACGUGUUUGGCCUCGCGGUCGAUGGCCUUCAUCUUACCCCUCACCACGCUGAUCCAGGAGCGCAGAGACAGCCGGGCUUGAUCCUGAUCGCUGUAGCAGUGACUGUGGAGGAACAGAUCCUGCAUCAGUCUUGCGCCGCUAUGAAAGGAGCAGCCAGAAGUGCAUCGGUGUCUUUCACUAAAUGAAUACCAUUGAAUGAAGAGAGGACAGUAACGACGCCUGAACAAAAGCAUGCGGGGUGUGUGAGGUUAUUCUGCAAACACUCGACGGACAGAUGCUGAAAUCCCUUAAUUUCCAGCGCAGCGCUGGCCUGCAUUAAAGCGCUUUCUUCUCCAACCAUCACAGCUGUUCUUGACCACCAGCUCACAGCGUUCUGGCCUUAUCAGCAGCUGACAGGCCUCUAUUGUGGCCAGUGUCUGACUACUAAGUUUAGGGGCCAAGCAGGGGCCAAGCAUCUUUAUCGGUCCUCUAUGGUCCUGCGUUUCACCCCAUCCUCAGGGGUGAUAAAGGACAAGAGAGCGAGCGUGAGGGGGGCCAAUGGUUUUGGCUUGACAGAUAAGCGCUGUCGGCCAUGGCCUCCACCUUCUCCAUUAGACAGGCGGCCUGUACAGGGGCUGACCGGCCAUAAGUUUAGUGGACACUAACUGCCUCAUUAGUCAAGUCAUUAGCGACAGCAAACACCAAUUGCGGCCUAGAGAACAGUGGCAGGGCUAAUUAAAGGGCCAGCGCGUGACCUCCGCACACUGCCAGCUCUAGACAGCUGCGUGCCCGCGGUGCCUGCCAAAGCAGCAGGAGUUAACACACACACACACACAACCGCAGAGCGACCCCUGGUUGCCAGGCAGUUAUCAGCUUUCAGGAAACAAGAACGGCCUUAAAUCGCAGCUUUGUUUGGUCAAACGCUUUGCAAGAAGCUGCAUCCAAACCCCUGACAUCUCCUGAUAUCCUCUCGAAGAAAUUACAUUCUGAAAAGUGAAAUCCUUCAGAGACUAAAGACCUAAAUCAUUGUCUAAAAACAGUGUUUCCCAACCUUUUUAUGUACACUAUUGUUAAAAAGUUUUCUUUAGGAAAGAAAUUAGUACUUUUAUUCAGCAAGGAUGCAUUAAAUUGAUCAAAAUGACAGGAAAGAAAUUUAUUACAUUACAAUUUUUAAAAAAAUGAAUGCUUUUCUUUUGAAAUUUCUAUUCAAGAAUCCUGAAAAAAAAAUAUGAAGCAGCACAACUGUUUUCAAUAUUGAUAAUAUUAGGAAAUGUUUCUUGAGCAGCAAAUCAGCAUAUUAGAAUGUUGGAUCAUUUGGAUCAUGUGACACUGAAGACUGGAGUAAUGAUGCUGAAAAUUCAGCUUUGAUCACAGCAAUAAAUUACAUUUUUGAUUACAGUUUGAAAUUGUAAUAAUUUUUCUACAAUAUUUUUAAUUUUACUGUAUUUUUGAUCAAACAAAUGCAGCUUUCCUGAGCAUAAGAGACUCCUUUCGAAAAUCUUACUGACCACAAACCUUUCAGUGGUGGUGAACAUUGCAUUUUUGACCUAAUGGUACAUUUGUUUGUAAAUGAAAUCUAGAAAGGAAAUGUCAUUUACAGUCCUUAUAAAGGGACAUUCAAAUAGUCUUGUUUCAAAAUCAUCUGCAUUUUCUACAAUAUAAAAAUUUUUCUUACCAGAAUGUGGCCAUGAUUUUUUUUACUCUUUAGAACUAAUGCCUGGUUGGGAAUCACUGUUUCAAAAUAUUUUAAUAAAGGCAAUCAAAUAUUUUAUUUGAAGAAUCUGUUUCUCAAAUUCAGUGGCUUAAAACACAAAGAGAUCUCUGUCCUGAGGCAGAAGGAUCCAGAAUGCAGGUAUUAAUUGGCGUGUGUUGGGCUGAGUGUUAUUAUAUAAAGCCGUGAGCUCAGAUUUCAUGCAAUCAUUGUUUUUCGCUCAGAUCCCUGAGGGUCACUCUCACUAAUUAUAAUCAUGCUUGAGAUGAUAUCCCUCCACCCCCAGUCCAAAAAAAAAAAAAAACCUCUUUUAGACACAAAUAUCUUGCUGUUUCUUCAAAAAGAAAUCAUAAAUGCUAUUUAGGGCUUGAUUAUCAG